AUUGACGUUUGUGCCGCUAGACGCGGGCGAGCAGCGGAAAGGGAAACCUGGCGAAGGCUGGCCCACCGUCUGCUGUCCGCGCGUUCCCGGGCCUCAGAAGGGGCCCGCCAAGGGGGCGAGAGCGCGCCGCAGGGGCGGGGCGGGAGCGACUAGUCGGGCGUUUCGCGGCCCCGGGGCUGACGAGGCGGCGCGGGCAGGCUGCGCGGCUCCCGUGGGAGGAGUCUGGCGGUGGUCGGGCCUUGUGGAGAGUGCAGCUGCGCCCAGAGAGGACGCUGCUUUCCGCUCAGGACGGACUGACCGAGGGAGGGCGCGAGGGGAAACCGGAAGGAAGGGGAGGCGGCGGCGCCAGCCUUCCUCGGAGGGAAGCAGAAGCGAGACCCCGGCCCUAGCCGCGGCAGCAGGGCCACGCCCCCGCCGCCGCGCUUGAGGGGCCCAGUGUCUUCGUGGCCACCGGCCGCAUCGGAUCCCAAUCCUCGGGACUGAGGGACUCGGGGUGGGUUUUUUUUCCCUCCUUCCCGCUGUGUUGUGAAUUUUUGCCUGAAUUUGAGUGGUAUGGACUUCAAAUCUCGCAAUUUUACUCCAGAGGACCCACAGAACAUAAGAUGUUGCCACAAAAUCUACCUCGUGUGUUAUUCUCUUCCACUCAUGAGUUG